UACGAAAGGGGCUAGCGUUGCUCGGAAUCACUGGGCGUAAAGCGCACGUAGGCGGAUUGUUAAGUCAGGGGUGAAAUCCUGGAGCUCAACUCCAGAACUGCCUUUGAUACUGAGGAUCUUGAGUACGGGAGAGGUGAGUGGAACUGCGAGUGUAGAGGUGAAAUUCGUAGAUAUUCGCAAGAACACCAGUGGCGAAGGCGGCUCUCGUGGGACGGUACUGACG
rnacentral:rRNA from 1 species